AUCCGUUUUUUGCAAUGCAUUUUUUCAUUGUGAUCAAAAUCCUGAUCAGGAUUCAAAUGUAAUCAGUUUUCACACGUUUUCCCGGAUCCUGCGGGCAGUUCCGUUGACUGAAUUGAACGCCGGAUUCAAACAACGCUAGUGUGAAAGUAGC